AUGGACCAUGAGAUUCCAUACAAUAGGUCCUAUGCAUGGGACUCGAAGGAUGAAGGCCUGGAUGAAGAAAUAGAUGAGGAUGGUUUGAUGGCCAAAGAAGCCAAUGCUUUCAAGAAGGUAAUAGGACGUAGUCACAAGACAUCAUUUUUCCGUGAUCUAAGCCUAGCCGAUAAGGCUAUUGUUGAUGGUGGCACAAGUAAAAUUCUUGCACCAAGGUUAACUUCAAAGCGAGAUACCAAAGCAAGUGUGUAUGGUGUUAGUGAAGGAACAAUGAAAGCUUGGUAG
rnacentral:rRNA from 1 species